AACUGAUACUACCUGCGGGAACCUGCGGAGGGAUCAUUACAGGACUCGCAAGACUCCUACAACCCUGUGAACUUAACUAUAAGCACGUUGCUUCGGCGGGUGUCUCGGCGAGGGUUCUCCCUCCCCGGGGCGCUAAGCCCGCCGGCAGCCUACUAUACUCUGUCUCUUUGCGUUGGCAUCUCGAGUACAAACAAACAAGUUAAAACUUUCAGCAAUGGAUCUCUAGAUCGGAAGAGCACA
rnacentral:misc_RNA from 1 species